GUAAUAACAACGAUACAUGUAGAUCACAGGUGUCAAACAUGCGGCCCGGGGGCCAAAUCCGACCCGCCAAAGGCUUCAGUCUGGCCCAUGCGAUAGAUUUGUGAAAUGCAAAAAUUACACUCAAGGUAUUA